AGUAACACGUGAGUGACCUGCCUUUUAGACUGGAACAACUUACCGAAAGGUGAGCUAAUGCCGGAUGAGUUAUAUAAGUGCAUGUUUAUAUAGGAAAAGUUGGGGAGACCUGACGCUGAAAGAUGGACUCGCGUCCCAUUAGCUAGUUGGUAGGGUAAUGGCCUACCAAGGCGACGAUGGGUAGCCGGCCUGAGAGGGUGGCCGGCCACACUGGGACCUGAGACACGGCCCAGACUCCUACGGGAGGCAGCAG
rnacentral:rRNA from 1 species